GAAUUUGAAGCGAUAAAUUGCAAUUAGUUUCGACCUAAUCUUAGGUGUCUAACACCCUAAUUCU
rnacentral:tRNA from 1 species